UGAACCUUAAGUUAUAUAAAACUAGCAGCCUUCCAAGCUAUAAAAAACAAAAGUUAGGUUCAA
rnacentral:tRNA from 1 species